UCUUGUUGUUCAGUGUUAUGAUUAUAAAACAGUAUAUCAUAAAUUCCAAUAGUUUCAUUUCAUAAAAUCUAUCACACUUCGCAUUCACCACCAAAACAUGGCAGCAAGCAACUAUCAUGGAAGAAAGGACUAAAAGGAUCAACCACAGCAUGUUCUUGCACAUUAUGUUCUGGUUCUUGCUGAGUCAACAAGAGCCUUCACAAUGGAAGGCAGCCUUUCACUCAAUGCUGAGCAACCUGUGGCUUUGGAACGUGUCUGUCCAGCACAUCCACACCAACCAACCACACGCGGGCUCAUUAAUUUUGGGUAUUUUUGUACUGCAAUUGUUGCAAUGGUUACCCACAGGUAGUCAGACAUGUCCGAGGUCCAGCUCUUCAUGG